rnacentral:lncRNA from 1 species
AGUUAACCAACAGGACACAGCCCUGGUGAUGGCUUUCUGAGGAUGACACGAUGGAGGCUUCUCCAAUAGCUCUAAAACUGCGGUGUGGAAAACAUUCGGCAGCCUCAAAGAGCGGUCUUGUUGACCCCAACUAUAUCAUUUUUCAUCAAAAUCAUUCUUGUAAAGAAUGACCAGGCAACACUCUUUGAAAAUUGGAGGCCAUUUGCAGCUGCUCUCUGUUGAGGAAAGUGAAUAAUAGGGUGCCCUCAAGGAAUUGCAAAGGUAUCACUCAACAGAAACUUUCGUGUCUGAAGAAAACUAGAUCAUUUUAUCAUGGUAGGCAUGCUGAUAUGUUUGCUUUAAUAAAAUGCCAUAUUUCUGCCUUUAAUCUCUUGUCAACCCGCUAUUAAAAAGCCCCAAAGUGCAUGUGUGCAGCGCAUGUAAACACUUGUGGUUUUGAGGUUACCACAGAACAUACUAAUAAAGCAUGUAAUUUGUGUUUUGUGCACA